rnacentral:lncRNA from 1 species
AAGUUGGCUAAGACUUCAGAAUUUUACCACAAACUAUAACCAUUUAUGAGCACAGUGUUUUUAAAUAUUUACACAAAAAAUGGUAUAAUUUAUUUUAAUUUGUCUUUUUUGUCUAACUGCCAACUUAGAAAGGAGAACAAUUUUUCUACAAAAUAAAUAAUCACAAAAGUGUUGCAGUCGGGUCACCGUGACCCAAUUCUGAGUUGAGUCGUGUGUCCCCAAUGUCGAUGUACAAGCCCUUCUCAAAGUCACCGGAGAAGAAUCUAAAUCAAGUCCCAGUCAAGUGCCCUUAACUUCUGUCUAAGAAAAAGUCAAGUCCCCAUUGCCACAGUCUGAGUCCAAGCCACUGAAAGGCAAAAUUGGAGGCAUCCCACUCAAGUACCUAUGAGUUGAGUUCAAGUCUGAGUUAGGUCCCCAUUGUUACAGUGUAAGUAUGAGUCCACAUUACCUUAGUUUGAGUCCGAAUCCAAGUCAAAAAAAGGAUAAUUCCAUUCCAAUUGCAGUCAAGCCCUCAUUUCUCAAGUCUUAGUCUGAGCCCAGUUCCAAGUUUCCAAAGAAGAGACCAAGUCCAUUUUGUGUCCAAAUUUCCAGAGUCCAAGUCUGAGCUAAGUCUUCAUUACCCGAGUCCCACUCCUGCACUGAACCCCACUCAAGGCUCCAUGACCUGAGUCUUUAUCUAAAUUGGGUCCAAAUAUUUAGGGUCCAUAUCCAAGUCACAGGAGAAGGCUUUAGAUCCAGGCCGCUUCAAAGCCCCAUUUUCUGAGUCCAUGUCCAAGUUCAAGACCAAGUCAGCAAAGACAAGUUUACAAUCCUGUGUUUACAAGUUUAAGUUUACAAGCCCAGGAUUGAGCAGCAUCUCUGUUACCUGAGUGUGAGUCCAAGCCAGAUGCAACAAAGAAGAGUCGAGGAAGGACACAGGGAUUUCCCACCCAAGCCCCCAUCACUCAAGUCUGAGCACAAGUUGAGUACCCAUUAUCUGAGGUAUAGUUUUGAGUCUAACUUACUUAAGAAGGAUCUGAGGCCAGUUCCUGUUAAGUCUCUGUUAACUGAGUCUUAGUUUAAGUCUAAGUCACUCUUAUUCAUAUAAAAAUGUCUUCAUGUAUAAAUCAUUCCAAGUCCCUUUCCAUAUUCUGGGACUGAAUGCAGCUAAAGCUCAAAUCCAGGUCUGAGUCAUCUCUGCUGCGGAUAAAUUAAGAGUUCUGGAAUUAAGAGCCCAAGUUAAACUUAAGUCCAAGUCCUGGGCUUCAGCGCUACAACAGCAGAUGGGGUUGGAAUCUUCAUCUUGAACGGAUGCUAAAAAUCCCCUAAUAAAGAAAUAAAGUCUUACUGUGUCGAGAAAAAAGUUAUCAAAGGCAUCAUCAUGGGGAUCAAACUGACAAAAUACAAGCAGUGCUGAGCUGGAGGAAACAAAUAAAUUUCUUCAAGUUCUAAAUGAAAAGUCGAUUGUUUUUAGUAUCAGCAAAAAGAUUUCAUGAAAGAGGUUACAGAUGAAAGUUCUGUGAUCAUGUUCAAAGUGAAAAUUAAAGCAGGCUUUUUUAAGAGAUGGGACCUCGCAGUUUAAUGAAGACGAUUAUAAUCACAAACACCUACAGCAUCAUUAUCAUUAUGAUCACAGCAUCAUCAGGCCUUUUUUUCCCUACAGUAUAGCCAUCAGACACACACAUGCAAACAGUUUAUCUUCAGGUCUCAACACUCUCUUCUUAGAGUGUUUGCGCGGGGAAGCCUGUAAGCCUCUAUUUGUUUAGUAAUUUCAUGACUGGCUAACCUUCCUUCUCUGGGGCAUCUCUCUGACUCAGUUAGAGCCUUCUGUGUGUGAAUGUGUGUGCAUUUGUGCAGAUAAUAUUACACAACAUCUCUCUCUCUCUCUGUCUUUCUCUGUAUAUAUACGGUGUAUACACCCAUUUGCACAUACUUUUUUCAUAUACUUUCCUCAGUUCCAGCCAUCCUGAAAGUAUUCUCAGCCUGAAUGUCGACUGUUUCUUUCUCCCAGCCUCUAUGAAAAAGAACAUUUUGUCUCUGUGAGGUUCUCCUGACGAUAAAAGCAGUCUUUAUAGUUUUGUAACGCUGAAAGCUAUUUGAAGGCGGCCGUUCUCCUGCUCAGAAACACAGACAGACCAUGUCAGCGUACUCCCCCUGUGAGUCUGGAAACACCCAACAUUGUAAGAAACAGAAAGCAUUUUCUAAUUUGUCACAGCAGACUAAGCAGUAGUGAUGCCUCCAGGCGCAGCAGAAAGAGUCCCCAUCUUCUACUCGCAUGUUAUUGCACUACUAAACUGUGUCAUGAAGCGCCAUAUCAGGUUAAUUUGCAUUUCUAUUGCGUUCGCACAAGGAGAGGUUUUCCCAGGUCAGCAGGACUAAAGCCUUGGGGUUCCCAACCUUAGCUGAUCUGUGGAGGUAAAAAUUCAAUAAGUGGUUAUUAGAGGAAAUCUGUCAUGGCUGCUUUUGGCUUUAAUUUGUUUUACAGCUUUGAAGCUUUUUCUAUCACCUGAGUGACUGCUGGCUUAGCGACCAUGGUAAGGGGGAGCAGUAGAGAGCCUUAACUUCUUCCCUGGAUCUCAAAGCCCUUAACUAAAGUUUCCACUAUCUUUAGGCCAACAAGAAGCACUUGUAGCAUCAAGACAACCCUGUGUGUGAAAACUCGCACAUUCCUCACAGGAACUGUCCCUAAUCUGGCCCCAGGACAUCCCUAACCCUAACCCAGGAUAGUAAUCCAGACUGGUUUGUACUUUCAGUUUACACCAUUGACCCAACUAGAAACUUAACCCAAACC